rnacentral:misc_RNA from 1 species
CACCACUCAAGCCUCGCUUGGUAUUGGGCGACGCGGUCCGCCGCGCGCCUCAAAUCGACCGGCUGGGUCGAUCGCACCCUCAGCGUUGUGGAAACUAUUCGCUAAAGGGAGUCGCGGUCGGUCACGCCGUGAAACAAACCAAUUUUCAAU